rnacentral:misc_RNA from 1 species
GAGAUAUACUGUUUUUUUUUUUUCCUUGAUUCCUUCAACUCUUGCUAGAUUUUCUGAUCCAAGUGAAUUAAAAAGUAUAUUACACUGAUUUCGAUAUAUUAUAUAAUUCUGUGCUGUACGCCAAACUUUCUUGUUUCUAUUUAGGGAGUAGGAAUUCUAUUGUCAUAUCUAUGUAAUUCAUUGCAUCCAUUAGAACUAUCAACUGGAAAAUCAAUUUAGUUCUGUUAUCUACAAACGUACAUGGGAAAGUGAGACUUGUUCAUUGAAUGGCACACCAAGAUAAACACCAAGUUAUCAAAGCCUAACAAGGGAAAAUAUAAACAGUACACUGAAAAUAAAACAAACGACGAGAAAGGUUCCACACAAUGUAACAGUUAGAAAUUUUUUUUUUUUUUAUGCACACUUUGAAGGGCUUAAGCUUGCGAACCCCACAAAGCCCAAUUGGCCUCACUACCAACACGGGGCAUGCUGCUAAUCCUGGAUUGAUUAUCAACCUUAAAGUUGGCUCCACACAUGGCCCCCUCACUAUCAAUUCUGGGCAUUGCCUUCAUUUUGCUCAUUGGAUGUUCAAAGCUCAUCAACCCUUGUUCGCUGUGGAACAUGCACCCAGAUGGAAAUGGUGCAAAUGACUUGGCACAACUUCCUUUAAUGACCUCCAAGUUGUCGGAUAUCACCACCGAUCCAUCACCAGCAAUCCCCCAGAAUAGCCCCACACCUUCAUUUGCACCCAGGGCAGCAAAGACAUGUCCAGCUUUGGUAUCAUAGACCACGAAUCCGAAUGUGCCCUCAAGAUCCUUUAGGACCUGAUGGGCUGGGUAUGGGCCACGAUCACGUAGGGUUCUGUAAGCUUCAAUUACAAACAUGGCCUCGUUGGUGCCCUUCGACAGCCCAUACUGUCUAUUGAGGCUACAUAAGUUGUUCAAGCUUCCCAAGAAAAUGCAGUAUAUGUCAUUCAAUCCACAGAACAACCUCUGGUGAAUAGAGUAAGGAUUUUGUGGAGGAAUAUAAGCAAGAGAAGCAACAUCUCCAAAGCUAAUUGAGAAAGUAUUAGAGGGAUUAGAAGAUUCAAAAUCCUUAAGAAUCUCCUGAGGAUGCUUUGGCUUUCUCGAUGAUGCCAAUGAAGCUGGGCUAUUCAGCUCCUGAGGUGGUUUCACCAACCCUUUCUUGAAUAUAGCCAACAUAUUUCUUCAAUCAAAAUUGAAAUAAGAUCUCAAAAAGGAAUGAAACAGAGGCCCAACGGAUACAAUACAGUACAGACACAGAUACUGAU